UACGUAGGUGGCAAGCGUUGUCCGGAUUUACUGGGCGUAAAGAGCGCGCAGGCGGUCGUUCAAGUCGCGUGUGAAAGCCCCCGGCUCAACUGGGGAGGGUCACGCGAUACUGAUCGACUCGAAGGCAGGAGAGGGAAGUGGAAUUCCCGGUGUAGUGGUGAAAUGCGUAGAUAUCGGGAGGAACACCAGUGGCGAAGGCGACUCCUGGCCUGUUCUUGACGCUGAGGCGCGAAAGCGUGGGGAGCAAAGCAGGAUUAAGAA
rnacentral:rRNA from 1 species